GCCGGAGUGGCGGAAUGGCAGACGCAGCGGAUUCAAAAUCCGCCGUCCUUAAGGACAUGUGGGUUCGACUCCCACCUCCGGUACCA
rnacentral:tRNA from 1 species